rnacentral:rRNA from 1 species
UACGUAGGGCGCAAGCGUUGUCCGGAAUUAUUGGGCGUAAAGAGCUCGUAGGCGGUUUGUCGCGUCUGCCGUGAAAGCCAGGGGCUUAACCCUUGGUCUGCGGUGGAUACUGUCGAGCUCGAGUCCGGAAGAGGCGAGUGGAAUUCCUGGUGUAGCGGUGAAAUGCGCAGAUAUCAGGAGGAACACCAAUGGCGAAGGCAGCUCGCUGGGACGUGACUGACGCUGAGACGCGAAAGCGUGGGGAGCAAACAGG